rnacentral:rRNA from 1 species
CCUACGGGUGGCAGCAGUGAGGAAUAUUGGUCAAUGGGCGGAAGCCUGAACCAGCCAAGUAGCGUGCAGGAUGACGGCCCUACGGGUUGUAAACUGCUUUUAUACGGGAAUAACGCGCCUUACGUGUAGGGCUUUGCAUGUACCGUAUGAAUAAGGACCGGCUAAUUCCGUGCCAGCAGCCGCGGUAAUACGGAAGGUCCGGGCGUUAUCCGGAUUUAUUGGGUUUAAAGGGAGCGUAGGGCGCGUGUCAAGCGAGUUGUGAAAUUUUCGGGCUCAACCCGGGCCUUGCAGCGCAAACUGGCGUGCUUGAGUGCGCGGGAAGCAGGCGGAAUUCGUGGUGUAGCGGUGAAAUGCUUAGAUAUGACGAAGAACCCCGAUUGCGAAGGCAGCUUGCUGCAGCGGAACUGACGCUGAUGCUCGAAAGCGCGGGUAUCGAACAGGAUUAGAUACCCGUGUAGUC